rnacentral:rRNA from 1 species
AUGGAUCUCGAAAAGGAUGAAGAAGAACAAACUGAUCUCGAAGGGCCUGCAGAACCUACCCCUCCUAUGACAGCAAGGUCUUUGAAAGCAAAGGGGAAGAAAUCAAGCGCCUCGAAACCAAGCGCUUCGAAGAGGCAAAAGAAUUUCAGCAAGGCUGAAGACUUAACUUUGGUGGAUGCAUACCUUGAGAUAACUCAAGAUCCAAUCAUAGGAGUCGACCAAUCUCGUGAUUGUUAUUGGAAAAGAAUCGAUGCUUAUUUCCAUGCCAAUAAAUCUGAAGACCAUGGUCGCACACAAGGUUCUCUUCAGCAUCGUUGGGCUAUUAUUCAAGAACAAGUGAAUAGAUUUUGUGCAUGUUAUAGUCAGGUCCUGAAUAGGAACCAAAGUGGGAUGACACGUGAAAAUAAGCUAUGUCAAGCGAUUGUUCUCUAUGCCAAUGGAGACAAGGCAAAUAAAUCAUUUGGAUUGAUGCAUUGCUUUAAUAAGUUGGAAGACACCGAGAAGUGGAAAUCUCGCCCAAAAAAAAAACAGAAGACAUCCUCCUUGGAUACUCCUAAUUCAUCAUCUGCUAGUUUGUUUGAGGAUGAAGCUACAUCUCCCUCUAAAGUUGUCCCCAAGAAAAGGCCACCUGGAAUCAAGAGGGCUAAAGAUGCAACAUGGCGGGCUCAAAGUUCUUCCAGUACAGUUAAUAGUAGUGCCAUGGAAUAA